UGGGGGGCCAUGUUUUUUUUUAAUUAACUAUUCUGUUAAAACUGCUAUUUUGAUAUAUUGGCAGAUUACUUGAGUGGCUCCAUUCACUAGCUAAGCCGAAGUCCUCACUAAGCAAUAGUCACCAUAAUGACUUCAAGAUUUGGGGGGAAAACUUCUGUGUAGUUCAGCAAUGAAAAGAAACAACCACUCAUGUUGCAAAGUUAUGUUCCAUUCACUCCCUGUUAAUUAACAUGUCAGAAAGCUUAAAAUAGGCAAACUAUGGGAAGACAUAAAAGAAUAUUCUCUAGAAAAUUAAGGAAAAGGGACUCACAGGAUACCAGGAAGGAGCCUGAGUGAUCUCUAAGGCAGAGACUAGAGUUUCUGUCAGGGUAAGGGCAUUUUCCUAGGGACUCAGAGAUGGAAUCAGAAACCAGAAUAAUUAAGGAUGCAUACAUCCACUUUCACAUUUUCUUAUUUAUUUCCUAGUAUUAAUUCCCAUUUAUCCAAGGACUGAACAUCCUAGGUCUGAACUAUUUCUCUGGCCAGAAACUUGACAGGGACACACAACAUGGACCCCACCCUACACUUUCACUUCUGUCACUCAGGAGCAAUUUCUCACACCCCUGGGCUACAGCUCUUCUUCACUGCGCUCUGUCCAGAUGCACCCCACCAGCUCUUUAAUGCACUGGGGUGUUGUCAGGCAUAAUGAUGAGCCAUCUGAAUAAUGACACCCAUUCUAGGGUGUAAAUUAGACAGCCGCUUGUCCCCACCCCACAAAGUGGAAGUUGAGUCAGCGCAGCCAUUUGAAACUGCAGUCUCUGUUGCGAUAAAUCUCCAAGUCAGGGAUGAAUGAGAUCUCCUUUACCUGCCAGAUGGCGUGUGACCUCUUACCUGUCAACAAGGCUCUUUGGCAGCAUCUGACAGCUAGCCUUCACCUAAAAUUUCUGCUUCAAAAUAAAAGGCCUAUGCCUGCCUGAGAAGCCAGUGGAUAGAGGGGUCAGGGGCUGCCUCCCACAGCUGGUAGCACACAGGGCAGAAGAGAAAUGAAAGCUGCCUGGACUCUCAUUCCCAUCUGGGUCAGGUGCUGUUGAUCAUCCCGAGAUGCACGUCCAUCCCUACACCUCUCUAAGCUUUGAGGCCAGGCAGCCCAGCAAGACUGCGCGAUACCCUGGAUCUGCUCUCCAUGCAACUAUUUAUAGCUAUUUAUAUCUGCGGGAUGCCAGCCACGCUUAGAUCUGCGUGACACUUCUAGAAAGUUGCACUGCUAUUUUCUCAACCUCCUAACAAGGAAGCAACAACAGACACAGCCCAUCCUCAUCAGGACAAGGAAGGCUGUAAUUUGUGCUUGUGUGUUUGCUUUAUUUUUUUUAACCUAGGAUGCCAUUUAGGAAUCUUCAGGACUCUUCUCUUCAGGCACACCCCACCCCUCAGCUGUCUUGAUUAGAAGCUCUGUGUAUGCUGGUCAGAUCUGGGGAUUAAUGACGGCUAAUUUGCCUGAGGUUGGUGCAGCCCAGGCAACAGACUUUGCACAACCAGCUUUUGCUGCCAUAUGGGCGGAAGCAGCUGUUUCAAUUACUUUCAGUGCCCAGAUGUGUCAGACGAGCCACCAGUCCUCUGCGGGGUACAUCAGCAGUGCGGCAGCUAAUUGCUUCAAUCGUGUAUGGAAGCAUGGUACUGGGUACUGUGAAAGGGGUUUUGGGGACAGCCGAGUGCCAGCUGUCCUCACAGCUCACAAUGCCAGCAAUCGGACAGGCUGAGACUAGACUUUGAGUUCCUUGCUGACACAUGAAUUAGCUGUGUCUUUGUCAGGUGUACACAGUGGAUGUACAAAGGCAGGUAACUGUCACCCCAGGCUAAACUGUAUCCACUUCUUCACAGAUCAUGUAAGCAAAGGACCAUGGUAGUUGGGAUUCCAGGCCUGAUGGAUGCUUAGGAAAUCAAAAUUAUAUGAUUUCAAGUAGCAUGCAAUUCAUAUUGUCCAUGUGAAUAUGAAGCUUUGAGACAUAGUUUUAUAGUUUUAGAUGUUAACGGUCCAACUUGUGCCACACUGUAUGUAGGUCAUGGGCUUUUUUGUUGUUGUCGUUUUGUUUUGUUUUGUUGUUUUGUUUUUUAAUUUCAGAAUGAGUCAAGAGAGGAGAGGAAUGAAAGUUCAGCCACCAUUCAUCCCUUUUUGCCUUAUCCCGAGUUCCCAAUUCGUGGUGGUUGUGGGCAGGGAUCAGAAAUAAAACCCAGAGAAGAUGUCCCAUCCUAUUGUUUGGGGUACAGUGAUAACUGAAAAUCUGAGCCUGGGCAGCACUGCUCUGCAUACCUUUCACAGGAAGCCCCAGAGGGCUGGAGGUGGCCAGGACUGAACUGGGCUGGGUUGGAAGUUCUCCAGACAGACAUCUCUCUCCAGGCACAGCUGCUCACUUCCAAGAAAAGCCUGGCCUCCCUUCAGGGAAGAGGAUGCCAGCAACAGGCCAAUGUAAUGACUGCACCAGUGUUCAAUGUGGCAAACCAAUGGCUUCACAUACAGGAGUGUGGCUGAGGGGAGAAUUACCUGCAUGUGAAUGGAUCAAAGCCAGCCCUGAAGGGCCCACAG